rnacentral:rRNA from 1 species
UACGAAGGGGCUAGCGUUGUUCGGAAUCACUGGGCGUAAAGCGCACGUAGGCGGAUUCUUAAGUCAGGGUGAAAUCCCGAGGCUCAACCUCGGAACCGCCUUUGAUACUGGGGAUCUCGAGUCCGGGAGAGGUGAGUGGAAUUGCGAGUGUAGAGGUGAAAUUCGUAGAUAUUCGCAAGAACACCAGUGGCGAAGGCGGCUCACUGGCCCGGUACUGACGCUGAGGCACGAAAGCGUGGGGAGCAACAGG